CCCCUCUCAGCAUCACACCUGGAGAGUUUCCAGUACUCCACCAGUCUCAACUAUGAGAGGGAGAGUCAAGUAGAGUUAUAUCCAUUCCAUUCCUAGCUUGGGCAGUGGUUAGUGAGUGGAAGGCAAACUACUGCAAGU